UCACCUGGAGCCAAGAACAUAGUAACCCUCUGUAAAGUGAAGAAAACAGAUUCAGUCUCUAAUGUCCACCUAGAAGCAGUGAUAUCGGCACAAGUACACAGAAUUGAGCACUAAUUCAGUGUGGUACAAGGGAUUAGCUAUGUCUUAUGAUCCACAGAUAUAUUUGUUUGUACAGCUGAGCCUUUUUCACACAGUUCUGUGAAGUGUAAUACUCAUUCAUCCAUCAGAUACUUUCAAGAACCUCUCAUGUGCCAGGGUCCAGGGAGACAGCAGUAAAAGAAACAGACUGUCUUCAAGGAGCUUAUGUUGUAAUGGGGACAACAGAUGGCAGGUGCAGUGGUGAGAUUGAUGGGUCUUGAGUUCAUCCCAGGAGCGUCCAGGUCAAGAAGCUGUGUGUUAGAUAUAUUCACUAGUCGGCCACUGAAGACUAUGAAAAUUGAAGGAAGAGUGAGAGCUCUAUGGCCAUUUUUCUUCUUGCCUAAUGGGUCAUCAGUUCACCAAGUAUAGAAGCUAUGUUUAAUGUUGCGAUAUUUUCUUACUUAAUAGCUAGAAUAAACAUGAAUGGACAGGCGGGCUGACUGACUUGGUGGCUUAUCCUUCCUGAGUGUGCUACAUUUUCAGCAGUGCCCCAGGAAAACCACCCAUGUGCUGCGGACUAGCUGUUUGUGUCCCAAGGGAAUUCGUGUAGCAAAGCCCUGAUCUCCACAUGAUGGCAUUUGGAGGAGGCAGUUGACUUUGAAUGAGGUUAUGAGGGUAGAGACCUCAUGAUGGAAUUGUGCCAAGGGAAGAAGAGGAAGAGACACUAGAGCUCCCUCUGCUUUGCAAGGACACAGUGAGAAGGCACUCUCUGCAAACCAGAGAGAGAGCCCACACCAGACCACACGACUGUCAGCACAUCGGAUUUCCAGCCUCCAGGACUAUGGAAAAUAAAUAUUUGUUAUUUAAGCCACUCAGUUGGUAGCAUUGAGUUACAGUAGCCCAAAUUGAGUAAGACACCCUACUUCAUAAUUUGUAGCAGGGCCUGGGAACCUCCAGCUCCUCCCUACUCAUUCAGUCUGAUGCUUUGAAAGAAUGAA